AGAGCCCAGCAUUUCAUUUGCUUCCUUAAAGUGGCCUGCUACUCUGUUCAUGUUAGCAGCCCUGGUCGAGAUGAAUCCCAGGGCUCUGGGAUUCUGGGGUCUUCCUUGGAAUGUUCUCACACUCAAGGAUCUCAGAGCAUUCACACUGGGCAAUCGCGCCCCGCUUGCCAACAACGUGGAGAAAUGCUAAGGAGGUCAAAGAAGACGAAAAGCAGAAGCCCCCAGAUUUGGCAUCCUUUCAAAUGGCUGUGAGCAGAAAAUCUUUGAUUUCCUCAAUUUUCCGUGGCAUGGUGAUGACGUGGGCAGAUGGCACACAUGGGCACUUCUCCCCGAGGACAGCCACAGACCCUCACAGCUAAUACUGUGAACUGAAGGG
rnacentral:lncRNA from 1 species